rnacentral:rRNA from 1 species
UACGUAGGGUGCAAGCGUUAUCCGGAAUUAUUGGGCGUAAAGAGCUCGUAGGCGGUUUGUCGCGUCUGCUGUGAAAACUGGAGGCUCAACCUCCAGCCUGCAGUGGGUACGGGCAGACUAGAGUGCGGUAGGGGAGAUUGGAAUUCCUGGUGUAGCGGUGGAAUGCGCAGAUAUCAGGAGGAACACCGAUGGCGAAGGCAGAUCUCUGGGCCGUAACUGACGCUGAGGAGCGAAAACAUGGGGAGCGAACAGG